GAAGAUUCAGGCUUGCCACCAUCAUCAAAGAAAAGAAAAGGGAAGCAAUCAGAGAUUUCAGAAAGUUUUAAUGCUGAAACCCGACACAUUGCCGAUGGUCAUAUUGCAAGAUUGUUUUACACUGCAGGGCUACCUUUCAAUGUGGCAAGGAACCCCAAUUAUCAGGCUUCUUACAAUUUUGUUGCAAACAACAAAAUGGGUGGUUAUGUGCCUCCGGGAUAUAAUGCAUUGAGGAUAACUCUUCUCCAAAAAGAGAAGGCACAUGUUGCGAGGAUGCUUCAACCUAUCAAAUCCACGUGGCCCUUCAAAGGAGUGACUAUUGCAGCUGAUGGGUGGAUUGAUCCACAAAGACGCCCAAUUUUAAAUUUUAUAGCUGUGACAGAGGAUGCUCCAAUUUUUCUAAAAUCAAUUGACUCCGAAGGAGAGAUUGAAGGAGGUGAUAGAGGAAGUUGGAUCAAAGAAUGUGGUCCAAGUGAUCACUGACAAUGCGGCAAAUUGCAAAGCCGCCGGAUUGAUGAUUGAAUCAAAGUACAAGAAC